rnacentral:rRNA from 1 species
AGACGGAGGGUGCAAGCGUUACUCGGAAUUACUGGGCGUAAAGCGUACGUAGGCGGCUUGUCAAGUUGGAUGUGAAAUCCCACAGCUUAACUGUGGAACUGCGUCCAAAACUGGCAGGCUCGAGAACAGUAGGGGACAGUGGAACUCCAGGUGGAGCGGUGAAAUGCGUAGAGAUCUGGAGGAACACCGGUGGCGAAAGCGACUGUCUGGGCUGUUUCUGACGCUGAGGUACGAAAGCUAGGGGAGCGAACGGGAUUAGAUACCCUAGUAGUCC